rnacentral:rRNA from 1 species
UAAUACGUAGGAGGCGAGCGUUAUCCGGAUUUACUGGGCGUAAAGAGGGCGUAGGCGGCUCUUCAAGUCGGAUGUAAAAUCUCCCGGCUCAACUGGGAGGGACCAUUCGAUACUGCUGGGCUAGAGGACAGUAGAAGGAGGUGGAAUUCCCGGUGUAGUGGUGAAAUGCGUAGAUAUCGGGAGGAACACCAGUGGCGAAGGCGGCCUCCUAGGCUGUUACUGACGCUGAGGCCCAAAAGCGUGGGGAGCAAACAGGAUUAGAUACCCUGGUAGUCCACGCUGUAAACUAUGGACACUAGGUAUAGGGGGUAUCGACCCCCUCUGUGCCGAAGCUAACGCUUUAAGUGUCCCGCCUGGGGACUACGGUCGCAAGACUA